AUUGAACGCUGGCGGCAUGCCUUACACAUGCAAGUCGAACGGCAGCACGGGAGCUUGCUCCUGGUGGCGAGUGGCGAACGGGUGAGUAAUACAUCGGAACGUACCCUGAAGUGGGGGAUAACGUAGCGAAAGUUACGCUAAUACCGCAUAUUCUGUGAGCAGGAAAGAGGGGGAUCGCAAGACCUCUUGCUUUAGGAGCGGCCGAUGUCGGAUUAGCUAGUUGGUGAGGUAAAGGCUCACCAAGGCGACGAUCCGUAGCGGGUCUGAGAGGAUGAUCCGCCACACUGGGACUGAGACACGGCCCAGACUCCUACGGGAGGCAGCAGUGGGGAAUUUUGGACAAUGGGCGCAAG
rnacentral:rRNA from 1 species